UCCAAGAACACGUACUCACCCCGGUGCUGACUUCCUGACCCAUCCAGUCCGGGACCAGGUCAUUUUUAGAAGAAAUCUGCUGUCCGAAGUACGGCAUCAUUGAUGCUGCAGCCGCCAUCUUGUUUCUGUUGUCGCUAUAUGACGGCGAGGCAGCUAUUUACGGGCUGUGAAAAGUUACCAAAAAACACAUAAAUAACUCUGUUAUUAUAUUAAUAAUUAACAGUAACUGUAACAAAUAAUAUCUGAGAUUUCAGUUUGUGUUUUGUUUUGUUGCUAUGCGUCAGAUUUACAUUUAUAAAACUCCCUGAAAAGAGUUAAGCUCAGGCAGGUUGGCGGACAGCCCUGCUGCGGGGUCCUGAGCUCGGCAGGAAGGAGGAAAAGAAGAUGACGGUCCAUAACCUGUACAUCUUCGACCGGAACGGAAGCUGUCUGUUUUACAACGAGUGGAACCGGAAGAAGCAGGCGGGCAUCUCAAA